GAAGAGAAGGACUGAGACACUCCCAGUCAUUAGUUUUCUUCAGUGGCACUUUGUUUCUUUCGGACAGUGAAAAGAGGCCCUCGGAGAUGCGACAGUUCCCUUGCAGUUUAUCAAUGAAAAUCUAAUAUCGUCCAUAAGGAGAGAAGUGAAAAUCAAUACUUCAUUACCAAAUUGUUCCCGUAACAACUGCUUUCAAGCUCAGGUACUUUGGUCACGUGCACACAUGCGCACAUUUUGUUGCUCCUGGCUUCUGUAGGAUCUGCACCUGGGAGACCAGAGCUGCGUGGUGAGGGGCGUUUUUAGCCCACCCUUGAGGAGGAACACUGUUAGUUAUCAGGGUAGUCUUUUCCUUGGAACAUAGGAGUAGGAGUGACAUGCUAGCUAUGAUCACACUACUGGAAAGAAAUCUCAACUUUUGAACUUCUUUUAAAGCUUGGCUGGUAAUAAAUCUCCCAGGUGUAUCAAAUGAGUGACAGACACAUCAGGACAUGAGCCAGGCAGGCAGCUGCCCAGGGCUUGAGGCUGGAGACCUUUCUAAUCAGCAGCAGAGCAAACAGGUUCCACGGGUCCUCCCUCUGCUGUCACCGGUCUCAACUGGCUGUGCAAUGAGAGAGUAGGGAGCGCUGCUUAAUACAAUCCCUUUCUGCCUGUUUUAUGGGGGCCCUUGUUAGCUUUCUCUAGCUGUGACCAAACUUUCAACCAAAACAGCGUAACAGAGGAAAGACUUCUGCUCAGCGUGCUGAAGAUUUCAAUCCACCAUGGCAGAGAAGAUGCUGAAGAAAAGGGGGAGACAGGAAGGGGACAAGCUAUGGCCCUCCCCCACUUCACCACCACCAAAUAAUGUGCCAGUUAUGAACUUGUCUUUGUUAGGGUUUUACUGCUGUGAACAGACACCGUGACCAAGGCAUCUCUUAUAAAGAACAACAUUUCAUUGGGGCUGGCUUACAGUUUCAGAGGUUCAGUCCAUUAUCAUCAAGGUAGGAGCAUGGCAACCUCCAGGCAGGCAUGGUGCAGGAGGAGCUGUGAGUUUUACAUCUUCACCUGCAGGCCUCUGAGAGAAGACUGACUUCCAGGCACCUAGGACCAGGGUAUUAAAGCCCAUGCACGUAGUGCCACACCCACUCCAACAAGGCCACACCUUCUAAUAGUGCCAUUCCCUAGCCCAAGCUUGUACAAGCCAUCACAGAACUCAUUAAAGGAUUCAUCCUUUGAUUUGGCCUCAGGGUUGCACGUGUCCCAGACACACCCAGAGGUAGGCAUCAGUAAUUUCUUAAGCGCUCUUUAUUCCAGACCAGUUAGCAUUAAGGUCUCCCUGAGCUACACCCCAAAAUGGCUCAAGACCUUCUGUGUGUCUUUGUGUAAAAUGGCUGUUGGAUGGAGCCAUCAGAGACAGGGGUACCACUCCUGGGACACCGCGAGAGGCAGGCGAGAAGAUCCGAGGCCUCCUGAGAGUGGGGCCAACGCUGUCACCGAGUGUCACCUGCAUCAUCACUCGUGUGUCAGCUCAGAUGAUCUCAGUGGCAGAUCUUUCCUUAGCUCACACUCCUCAUCCUCAGGCGCCCUCGUGGUUAAGAAGCCGGAAAGAAAGCUGGCAUGAAGCUUCGCCCAAGAACCCCUCCUGACGGCUAGUGACGGGAUUAUGGGGUUUUAACUGCUGAAUGGUCAUCCCCAAUUAUAAUCAAAGGUCUGUCAGUCUAAAUAAAAACGAUAAGGCAGGGAGCCAGCCCCUGCUAUCCGCCCCUCUCCACUCCCCACGAGCUUUUAAACACCAAUCUGUCCCCAGAAUGAUGCUUCGACAGGGCUUGGGUUUAAUAGUUAUUGAAAAGAAACGGAACUCAGUGUUAAGUAAAACUUAACUCUUUUUUUGUAAUAAAGAAUGGUUAAAAUUAUUGUUAUUAUUAAAGACAGAAAGGGAUACUC
rnacentral:lncRNA from 1 species